AGAAAAAUGAGGGGAAUGGUUUCGGGGUUUUGCUCGCUUUCCAGGAAGGAUGUGUUCUCCAUCUUGUAGGUCUUCCUCCUCCAUGAGUUUAUUAUGAGCUUCUUGAGGAAGAAGACCAGCUCUUCAUCCUUCACGGUGCCAACGAUGUUUGUUGAAUUGAAGAAGAAAGAGCUAAAAGCCUAAGCCCCGUACAAGUCCCCAGACAAAAAGGUCAGAAACGUGGAACGAGGCUGUGCUUUAGCAGAUGUUAGCUUGUAACUGUCCACGUCAAACACUGGCCAUACCAGUGAGAUAAACAGAAAUUAGGAAACACUCACGGCUUCCCUCAUCUUCCUCAUGCCCAGUCCUCAAGCAGGAACCAAGGCAUCCUGAGUGAGGCUGACUGCACUUCCUCUGCUCCAUCCGCAUGCUCCCCUGACUCGGGCCAGACUGUUUCUCACCUGUCGAGUCCACUCUGGUUUCCCCUAGCCUUUCCUCCCUCUUGUACACCAUCCUCACUGCUGGCAGGGUCAUUAUUCUAGAACUUAGAUUUGACCGUAUUACCUCUGCUUAAGCCUUCGGACUCCCUGUUAGCUGAAAGAUAUCAUCUUUUCCACAUGGCAUCCGAGGUGCUCCAUGGUGGUGCCCAAAUCCGCCCUUCUAGACUCAACCCUGCCAUUUUCCUCCCAGGCCCCCUACAUCUCAACAACCCUGAACUCUCUCUCCCCCUCAAUACGUUGUUUCCUUCCUUGUCUUUGCGCAUGCUGGGCCCCUCUGCCCGGAAAACUGCUCCCCCUUCUCCACACAUACAUGUUCUCUACACACUUUUCUAUAUCCAGCCCAAAUAGCUCUCUGUGCAACACAGUGGAGUUAAUUGUUGCCACCAAGGCCUCAUAGAUCUGUCUGGGUAGCCAUUAAGCUGUGUGUUCAUUUACAGAACCCAAAGAACAUAGGACGAUGUCUUUUACUUCUUUGAUCUCCAACACCUAUCCUCUACUGGGUGCUCAAGAAAUGUUGAAUAAAUAAAGGAAUAAAGUCUAGGUCUUUGUGAGUCAGGUUGGUGGAACAGGCCUUCCUAUCUGUCUAGGCUUUUGUUUCUUCCCUUAACUACAAGACUGUGUAUUUAGCCUUUCUUCAUGACAAGCUGUUCUCGUUAGAGAAGAGUUAUAUUAUUCUAGCUUUCAGUCACCCACUGGCUGAUGGGUUAUCCAAUGGAAACUCUGUUGCCCGUCUACUAUGUGGAUAAGAAUUGCAAAUGAAAGCAGCUUAGUGUGCUGAAAACAAGAUCUUAAGUACAUUCGAAGGGCAAAUAAACAAAUGGGGAAUGUAUGCCAUGGGUAUUAUAUGUGAUUGCUUUAAUGUCAUUUUGCUGAUAAUUUAUGCAGUGCCCUUCUCUAGUCGACCCCUUAAGUGCAAAUAAUUGAGGGUUGUCAAAACAUUUUCAGUAGCUCUGACCUUUGCACAUAUACAGUGAGUAAGAAGGUGUAGAAAAAUUACUGAAAUUACUGGCCUUCAAAAAGGGGAAAGGUUCACUCCUGAAUUGCUUAAGAAAUGACAAAAUGAGUUCAUGUAAAGCUUGAUAGGGAACAGGAAGUUAAAAAAAAAAAAAACUGUGAUAAGGAAAGAGAAAUGCUGACCCAGAAAAGAUGAUCUGAAAAUGCAGAGGGAAACUUUUUUGACACAGAUGUAAUGUAAGAUCAUUGCUCUGAGGUGUUUUUUUUUUUUUUUUUUUUUUUGAGAUAGGGCUAUAAAAGUGAGAAUUGAACUCAUGAUUCUGUAAGACAAGCAUGUCUGAUGAGCGGGGGGAAAUGGUUAUUCACUCUACUGGAAUUGCUUUAAUGGAAACUUCUUGAUGAGAGUUGUGUCUUAAAAUACUCAUCCAGUGAUGAGGAGUUAUUUCAAGAUGUGAAGUCAAGGAGGUGGUUGCAGUGAGGUUCGUGUGUGAAGCACGCCAUGUCUUCAGGAUGCCGAGUGGAGCCAGAUGAACAGGGUGCCAACAACUGUUCCCACUGGCCUUUUUGGACAGCUGGUUCCCAUCCCAGGGACAUACUGGCAGCCAUCAGCAACUAGUAAAUCUAUGAAUGCCGCCCAAGCAAAAGGGCGGGGUGAGGCCUCGAGCUCCUUCCUUUCUCCUUGGUAAUCCCCAUCUGCCCAGCAGAGUCCUUCCCUCUGGCUCAGCCGUCCUAAACUCUUCUCCGUUCUCGCUCUCUACUACAACAGUAGACAAGGCCCCCAGUAGACCUCCGGGCCUCCAGCCCGCUUUCUGUGCCCAUGAAAACCAACAGCUUUUGAAGUGCAACUCUCAAGAGAGGAGAAAUUAAAUUUCAACUGUCCAAUUCGGCUGUCCCUGUUCCGGUGCGUCAUUCAAGACCCAGGUCAAUGUCACCUCCUCUGAUGCUUCUUCCAGUUCUCCCAGGCAGCAAGACACUACUUCUCCUGUGUUAAUACGUUUCUGUACAUGCCUCUACUUUCAUAGACUCCUAUCGCUACUAUGGUAAUCUGGUUGCACACCUUGGGUGCCCUUAAAGUCAAAGACUCCAAGUCUCCAUUCCCCCAAGCCUAGCACAAGGCUUCUCAGUAUGUGCUUGUGGAAUGAAUGUCCAUAUGAAUAUACUUCCGAAUGAAGAGCAACCGUGGGCAGAUUUUGUCUGUUGACAUCCUUUUGAAGACAAGAGCCAAACAUGUUGAAUGGCAGCCAUUGCCCAUGUGAAACUUGAAUUUGGGCUGAGGUUUGGUGCAAGGUGCCUGAGCCACAUAAACAAGCAAACUGGAGGGCUGGGAUUGCUUUCCAGUAACUUAUCAGUGACAUACUUGGGGAUGUGAACACUCCCCUUUCCAAAGUCAAUACCCAGUCCUUGCCAGACGUCUUCUCCUGAAGCACUUAUUAAACGGGGCGCCACGGAGCUCCAGAAAUAAAGGAGCUUGAAGAAAGCA